UUUUUGAUUAAUAAUUUAAAGUCUAAUCUGCCCACUGAUAAUAUAUUAAAGGGCUGCAGUAUUUUGACUGUACAAAGGUAGCAUAAUCAAUAGUCUCUUAAUUGGUGACUUGUAUGAAAGAUUUAAUGAGAUAUAUACUGUCUCUUUUUAAUUUGUAAAAUUUAAUUUUUUAGUUAAAAAGCUAAAAUAAAUUUAAAAGACGAGAAGACCCUAUAGAGUUUUAUAUUUAAUUGAAUUAAAAUUAUUUAUAAAAUUUAAAAUUUUAAUUUAUAAUAAAUAUUUUGUUGGGGUGAUAAAAAAAUUAAAAGAACUUUUUUUUUAUAAAUUUACAUUAAUAAAUGAAUAAAUGAUCCGUAAUUUACGAUUAGAAGAAAAAAUUACCUUAGGGAUAACAGCGUAAUUUUUUUUUUUAGUUCAAAUAAGAAAAAAAGUUUGCGACCUCGAUGUUGGAUUAAGAUAAAAUUUAAAUGCAAAAGUUUAAAAUUUUUGAUCUGUUCGAUCAUUAAAAUCUUACA
rnacentral:rRNA from 1 species